AUAAUACUCUUGUAUAUUAAAAGUAAAGCUUUUAUCAAUCAUUCAAAUAAGAUUAAUACGAGUAAAAUUUUAAUUUUUAAUAUAUUUUAAUUUUAGUGUCUAAUAAAAUAAUAGAUUUUAACUAUUUAUUUUAUUUAUAAAUUUAAAAUUAAACUACAUAGUAAUUUAAUAAUAUUAAAUAAAAAAUAAGUGUUUUUAAUACGUUUAAACUUUCUUGAAUUAAAUUAUGCUAAAAAAUAAAAAAUAAAAAUAAGUAAAAGAAUAUUAAAUUUAUUAUUUUAAUUAGGCACAAAUUAAUUUAUGCUAAAAAUAAAAUUUUAUUCUAAUUUGAUAAUAAAGUUAAUUUUAAAAGAGUUUAAUACUUGAUAAUAAAUUAAAGAAUCAAAUUGUAAUAUUAAAUUACUAGUUUAGUCUUUCGACUAAUACGGAUGAAAAUAGUUAAUCUUAUUAAAACCAAAAGAGUUUUAAUAUAAUAAAAGAAAUAUAAAGAUUGAAUCAUAUAUUAGAUUAGGCCUUAAUGGAUACAUAGUAUCUAACUCAAGACAAAUUCACCUCCCUAUUCCAUAUUGGAAACGAAACCAAAACCAGUAUAUCCAAAUUUGCAGUUAAAGACAUAAAUUAGUAAGAAAGAAAAAUAAGUCUCUAGAAAGAAAGAGAAGAAAAAGAAAAAGAAAAGCUAAUGAUUACAAUGGAAAGGAAACAUAUUUUAUAAAUCAAAUUUAAGGUAAAGCUUUUGCCUUUCAUUUGAAUUCUAAUCAAUUCUUUGCCAUCUGAAUCUUUUAUCAUGCAACUUUUAUCUUCAAAGACAACUACGUAGCCUUUCUCCAAUAACUGACCAACACUCAAUAAAUUUUGAUCAAUUUUGAGGACAUAAAGAACAUCAUGAAUUAGUUUUAAACCUGCACUCCCUUCAAUUGCAAUAGUUCCUUUGCCUUCUACAGCUAUCUUUGCUCCAUUUCCAAUUCUGACUUUGGUGUUGUAGGUUGUAUCAAGAUCUCUGAAUAAUUCUUAAUCAAAGGUCAUGUGGUUUGUGCAACCACUAUCAAUCAACCAACUCUCGGUUGAGCUUGCAGUAGUAAAACAAGAUACUACAAACAGCUCAUCUUCAUCAACUUCUUCAACUGCGGCCUUUGUUUUUCCUUGUUGUGAAGACUUACAGAUCUUGUCCAUAUGUCCUAAUUGUCCACACUUAUUGCAUUUCACAUCCGGCCUCUAACAACACUUUGCCUGUGGAUGAUUACUUUUCUUAUAAUAAGGACAUGGUGAAAGAUUUUGAGAAGUUUUGUUGUCAUUGUUAUUGCUGAAAAUCCCUGGCUUGUUCUUCUUGUUCUUGCUACCAUAAUUAUUACUUUGAGAUUUGACUAGCAAAGCUCCUUCAAUGGAACCUUCCUGUCUCAUAAGCCUUCUUUAUUCUUGAGCUUGAAGUGUACUCAACAAUUCUGCCAAGGUGAUGCUUGAUAAAUGUCUUGAGUUUUUGAGGGAAGUGAUUGUAUGAAGACUGGCUCGCAAGGAACUAGCUUUCUCACCGGAUCUGUCUGCAAGAGGCUAGGCAGGGAACUCAGAAUGCCUAGAAGACAGAAGCACUAGAUAGAACUCAAACUAAAGGGAAGGGACUGAAAUGGAUACUAGUCAUAUUUUUCAGGAAUUGUUACAAGAAUUUUUUGGACAAUUCUAGAAUCGGAGAGAUCAGUACCAAGAAGCCUUAUUUUAUUUGCAAUGAUGAGGAGCUUGUCUGCAUAGUCUUUGAUCGUUUCUGAAUCUUUCAUCAUUUGCAUCUCAAAUUCUCGAACUAGAUUCAGUGUUUACAUUCCUUCAAUCCUUUCACUUCCUUCAUACUCUUGCUUCAAGAAGUUCCAGAUUUCAUAUGUUGUUUUCAUUGUCAUUAUUGUGUUGAAAAUAACAGAAGAUACAGGUGUGAACAAAACUUUUCUUGCUUUGGAUUUUCGAAGCCUCCAUUCUUUGUGGUUCUUCAUUUGUGCAACAAUAGGAUUGUUUGGCAAAGGGAAAACUUCAUAGUCAUCUUCAGCUUUCCAUAAAUCAUUGGUGUCAAGAUAUGCUUCCAUUUUGACAACCCACAUUUGAUAAUUAAUUCCAUCAAAUACAGAUGGUGAAAUGGCAGUGAAAGAAGUUUCUGACUCCAUUGAAUCUGAUUGUAAGAUAUUUGGUGUUUGUAUGUGUAUAUAAGUUUUUGUGUUUAUGUGUUUAUUUAGUGUUUUUUUAUGGGUUUUUGUUUUUGUGUUUAUGGGUUUUUGUGUUGUUACAAAUCCCUUAAGAAAAUAUGCUUACUGAUACCACUUUGUUGGUUUUGAGCAAAGAAAAAGAUUAGUAGAUAUGAAAGGAGAAUCUAAUGUACUUUUAUUGAUUUCAAACAUACUAUUUAUACAUCAAAAUAUAACUAAAUCUGCAGAAAAAUCUGCUACGAGAAAGCAUAAACUACUUCCUAAAAAUCUGCAUAAUGAAUAGUUCUUAUUCUAACUAAAGCUUGACCACUUCAAGCAUUUGCAGCUGGAGUCACUUAUUCCAACAAAAUUAAACAGAAGUAAACGUCUAAGCUUAGCAAAGCCACUAGAAAAAUGAAUCUCUUUUCGAACAAAGGCAUUAACCAGUUCAAGGUUUCUCAAAUGGGGUAGUGCUGCAAUGUGAGGCAGUACAUCUUCAUUCAAUCUAGACCAGUGCAAAUAUAAACUUGUCAGGAAGUGCAGUGAGCAAAACCAAUGUGGUACCUUUUCCAGUUUCCCCGCCAAAAUAAGUGUCUCGCGGCGGGGGCGGAGGUGAUGGCAAUGCAUCCAUUCGAAGGGACUCCUCUUCAUUCCUUGCCAUGAGAAACUAGUAACGUAGUCUUUUGAAGUUUAGGAUAGAGGAGCAAAAGUCCAUCUCAUCCAUUUCUCUCAUAUUGGAAAUGCCCAUUCUGUUCAAUUGUGUCAUCUUCCCAAGUUGCCUUAUUGUGUCACCUUCUGCUUCGACAAAAGACGUGACUCGUAAUUUCUUCAAUCUGUAAAUUUUAAAUAGUGCUCGUGUCCCACUGACAUAUUGAAAAAGACAGACAUGCCCAUGAUUAUAACGAUACAUAAUUAGAUUUCUCAAGUUCUUUAGGCGCGCUACACCUAUGGGAAGUUUCUUUAUUGGUGUGUCUCUAAUGUUCAGGGUCUCAAGGUUAAUGAGUCCUCCAAUAGAUUUUGGAAGCUCUGCCACUUGGGUCCUUUUGAGGUUCAAGCACCUUAAGUUGAACAGAAUCCCAAGACUAUCUGGCAAUUUCUCAAUUGUAGAAUUUUCCAAAUCCAAGACCCUCAAAUUUUUGAGUUUGGAUAACAAUGUAUAGAGGACAUACAUAGAAUGAGCCGCAAACACAAGGAAUGAACGAAGCUGUGGCAUACCGCUGUAUGAUUCAAGGUCCUCAUUAGUUGUUUGAGUGGACAAGCGAUGGGCAUUAUAUAACUCAAUAUCUCCUCGUCCAUCAUAUAUAGUACAAAAUUCCUCUCUCUCUGAGACUGACAGGAGCUCACAUAAAAGAUCAUGCAUCUUGCAUGCUUUUGGCCUUCCAGAUUGAUUUCGUUCUAUAACUUGAAGCAUGCUCCAACAAGCAAGUUCCAUAAGAUAACUCUCUGCUAAUUCUUUCGAAGUAAUCCUACUAACUUGUGGAAUAAACCCUUCUGCUAUCCAUAGCCUAAUGAGCCUUUUACGUCGGAUUAUAUGGUCUUCCGGGAAAAGGCAACAAUAUAGAAAACAAGGCUUAAGUGGGUAUGGCAAUUCGUCGAAACUACGCAACAAAAUAUUCUUGACUACUUCCAACUUCUGAUUAUUGUAUAGCUGCCAAUUCAAGUUGUCACAAACACUCCAUUCUAUCAUUGACUUUUUGGAAGACAUUUGACCACCCAAAGCCGCGACUGCCAGAGGCAGACAGUCACAUUUUUUCACCAGUUCUUUAGCCAACGCUUUGAGCUCGCUUGGACAGGUUCUAUCGGGAUAACCUGAAAAUGCUUUCAUGCAAAAGAGACUCCAGGCUUCACUAUUCUCCAAUGGUCGAAUGUGGAGAAUAUGGCUUCUAAUGCCAGAAGAACCAAAACCAACAUCUUCCUUUCGGGUAGUAACCACAAUUCGAACAUGCCCGUUGAUUAUUUGGAAAUGCCACCUUAAUUGCAUCUAAUAGAUUUGUAUACCACACGUCGUCCAAGACAACUAGGUAUCUUUUCAGCUCUAGGUAGCUAAUAAGAAUCUCUACAAGAUCUUUAAAUCCCUUUGUAUUCAAGUCAGGAAUGUUAUCCUCCCUUGACUGGUGGAAUUCUUUGAUCAAGCUCCUUUUGAGAGACGGUAAUCCAUGCAUAGCAGUCAAAAUGGCACUUCACUAUUUCAUUUUUGUAUGUCUUAGCAACCAGCAUAGUCUUUCCCGAUCCCCCCCCUUCCAACCACAGAAAUUGAACUUUGUUGCAAUUCUCCAUCCAUCCAGCAACUGGCUUUCAUCUUUGAACCCUACAAUAUCUUCUUUGAUGAAUAAAGAUGAAUCCCUGUGGUAUAAAGUCCAUUUGUGAUCAUCAUCUGAACCGCACCCUUUAUAUAAUUAAUAUCAUAUCUCUGCCUCCUCUGAGGCAUGGCUUUGAUGGUUUCAUUGAUUUUCUGCAAUUUAGAUCCAAUCCUACGCAUCACCCAAAGGUUUUUCGGAGUGCUCAUCAUUUGAUGAAGGAAUUGAGAGAAACAGCCCCCGGUGUGUUGCUGAUGCAUGUUAUACAUGAACUCAUCAAUGAUGUCUUCAACUUGGUAUGCUAGGUCCCUCACACUUGCCACCCACGUCUUCUCUCCUUCCAACUUCAACUGUUUUCUCUCAGCAUCCACUAGAAAAGUUCUAAUGCUUUCUAGUUCACUUCUGAGUUCUUUAAGUUCAUCGUGGACACCUUCUAAUAAUAAUGCUUCAUUCUGAAGAGCAGAUACCGUUAUCCCAAUUAGGUCGUCAACUACCAUCGAUGCCAUGUUGGGCUACUAUAUUCAUUCACUUCUUUCAACUCCUCGUGUUAUGUUCUGCAAUUAGAACUAUGUUGGGUUUAAUCUUUUAAAUUAAAAUUAUAUUAAUUUCUUAAGAAAAUUAAUAUUAAUGGUUAAAUUUUUAUUUUUAUUUAAUUCUUCUAAUAAUAAUUUUAGUACGAUGAAUGUCAGUAGAAAAAAAAAAACUAAAUGUUCUAUUUUAUAAAAUUAUUCAAUGUAAUUUUUUUUAUAAAUUUUAAUAUUUUAAAUGUAAUUUUUAAAUAGCUUUUGACGAUAAAUUUUAUAUUUUCAUCUUUAAAUAAAUAUUAAAAGCGUUUUUAGUAGGUUCUGGACCCGUUAUAUGAGAGGUAAACGUCUGUAUUUUAAGGGAGUUUUGCUGAAUUUUUGAUAGAAUUUUUAAGUUGGGAUUAGUCGAAAUUUUUAGGCAGUCUAAUUCUAAGAGUCCAAGGCUAGGAUUAAUUAUGAAAUAUUUUAUUAAUUUAACUAUUAUUGUGAUAGAUAAUUCGACAGUUCAGCCAGCUCCACUAAAAGCGUAGAAGCAGCUAAAGGAAACUCAACAGAACUGAGAAUUAAAGUCAUAUAAUCUAUUGCGCGUGUCAAGUCUAGAUUUAAAUACAAUUUUAUUUUAUUAAUAAUUACUAUAAUUAGUAGUAUUAGUAUUAUUAUAUUUUAUUUUCGUUAGAUCGAAUAAUAUUAGGAAUGUUUGGGCAUCAUGUUACUUUAAUCUUAUUGAUGCUAAAUUUGAAACAAGGCUCGGGAUUAGACAACGUAAAACAUGGUAUUUGAUGGGUUGCAUCAGGACCAUGUGCGCACUGGUAUAAAUUAGAGACAGGUAAUAGGAAAAUAUUAUGUGAUGUGCCCCGGUCGAGCACAACUUUCUAGGCUUAUCAAAUUUUAAUUUGUCGGAAGAAAUGUCUAUGGUCGAGCUUUGCUUUCUGGACGCUAACCUUAUUAGAAUAAGAGAGCUGAAGA
rnacentral:lncRNA from 1 species